UAAUGUCUGGGAAACUGCCUGAUGGAGGGGGAUAACUACUGGAAACGGUAGCUAAUGCCGCAUAACGUCGCAAGACCAAAGAGGGGGACCUUCGGGCCUCAUGCCAUCAGAUGUGCCCAGAUGGGAUUAGCUAGUAGGUGGGGUAACGGCUCACCUAGGCGACGAUCCCUAGCUGGUCUGAGAGGAUGACCAGCCACACUGGAACUGAGACACGGUCCAG
rnacentral:rRNA from 1 species